UACGAAGGGGGCUAGCGUUGCUCGGAAUCACUGGGCGUAAAGCGCACGUAGGCGGCUUUUUAAGUCAGGGGUGAAAUCCUGGAGCUCAACUCCAGAACUGCCUUUGAUACUGAGAAGCUCGAGUCCGGGAGAGGUGAGUGGAACUGCGAGUGUAGAGGUGAAAUUCGUAGAUAUUCGCAAGAACACCAGUGGCGAAGGCGGCUCACUGGCCCGGAACUGACGCUGAGACGCGAAAGCGUGGGGAGCAAACAGG
rnacentral:rRNA from 1 species